rnacentral:rRNA from 1 species
UACAGAGGGUGCAAGCGUUGUCCGGAAUCACUGGGCGUAAAGGGCGCGUAGGUGGGCUAGUAAGUCCGUGGUGAAAUCUCCGAGCUUAACUCGGAAACUGCCGUGGAUACUAUCAAUCUUGAAUACUGUGGAGGUAAGCGGAAUAUGUCAUGUAGCGGUGAAAUGCUUAGAUAUGACAUAGAACACCGAUAGCGAAGGCAGCUUGCUACACAGUCAUUGACACUGAGGCACGAAAGCGUGGGGAGCAAACAGG